rnacentral:rRNA from 1 species
AGAAUCAACGCUGGCGGCGUGCCUAACACAUGCAAGUCGAACGCGAAGACCCCGCAAGGGGUUGUUAGCGUGGCAAACGGGUGAGUAACGCGUGGGCGAUCUACCUUCGAGUGGGGGAUAACCUUCCGAAAGGAGGGCUAAUACCGCAUGACAUCCCGUGUUUGGAUACAUGGACAUCAAAGCCGGGGUCGCAAGACCUGGCGCUUGAAGAGGAGCCCGCGUCCGAUUAGCUAGUUGGUGAGGUAACGGCUCACCAAGGCUCCGAU